AGUCCCACUUGCCUGCCCAGUGCCCGGCGCACUUCCUCAGGGGCACACAGCCCGGGUCUUCUCAAGUCAUGUUCGAUAUCUAGUUAAGGGGUACAUUUAUCUCCAGUGUUCCCCGGGACCUUCCCUUUUGAUUUUCAAGAACAUUUUCUUCCCUCUGCCAGAGCAGUCCUUUCGAAUCAAAGGCUCGGCUUUUCCAAAGCGUAGUUUCUGAUGUGGGCUUCAGUGGACUGGCUGCGAAGUUCCUGAGACAAUGAGAGGGGAUGCUGGCUGUCUCUUUCUCUUUAUCUUCUCGCAGUAAAGCUCCAGUUCUCCUUGAGGUAAAGUGGAGCCUCUGAUUGACGCGAGGACGCGGGGAAAAUGAAAGCCAUAUUAUUAUUAUUUCAAGUUGUGUUCUUGCGGCGUUCCCGGAUGUCUGUGGUGACCCUUCACUUGUUGUGUGAAGUCAACAAAACUGACCAGCACACCAUCUGAAUGCUACAGCGGGAUGGAGAUGGGAGGCGAAGCCUUGGAAGCUGGAGGGUGAAUAGCUGGUGUGCACAACCCCCUAGCAACGGGCAAACAAGGCAGGAGGAGUGUGGAAUGGGAGUCAGUGCUUAAUGGGCACUAAGUUUCCAUUUGGUUGUAGAGACGAUGGUGCUGAUGGCUAUAAGGCGUCUUGAAAGUGCUGAAUGCCACCAAACUGCACAAUUGAAACAAUUAACUCGAGAAUCAACUUGUCACAUUCUAUUAAAAGUCCCUUUGAUAUUUUUACUGCAGUUACAUCAAGUUUAUGGAUUGCCUUGGGGAGAAGUGACAUUUUUAUGGUCCUGAUCUUUCCCCCAGGUGGAGGCCUCCUCAUUGACUGGGAUCUCUUUAUGUCUCUCAGUAAAGUUGUAUAAUUCCAUUUC
rnacentral:lncRNA from 1 species